GCGAUCUAAUAUCAUUCCCGUACUGCUCGUAGACUAGCGAUUGAUGGACGUUGGUGUCAAGGACCGAGUGUGGGAGGAGGUUUGAGUAAAUAUAUCUUAUGUAUAUACAUAUGAUAUAUUUACACUAUAAUUGAUUAGUAUAAUUUUAUAACUGACUUCUAAUAACUUUGUACAGAGAAGAUAUGACUUUUUAGAUCAUGAAAGGGUUCGAGAUGCCCAACUAUAGAAGAUUGAAGAGUUGUAUCAAAACUACAAGGUCAAGCUCCAUAAAGAAUGGCUAGAGUACUAUAAGGACAUAGAGGAGGAGCUUGUUCCUUGGAUUCAGGACUGUCCCCCAAGUAUGUGGGGAGAUGGUCAGAUAUUGGAGGAGCUAGGAGUUCUAGUUUAAUUUGUAACUUAUAAAUUUUUUAUUAUACUGAUAAUUAUAUUUAAUUUUAACUUA
rnacentral:lncRNA from 1 species